rnacentral:rRNA from 1 species
AGUGAACGCUGGCGGUAGGCCUAACACAUGCAAGUCGAACGGCAGCACAGUAAGAGCUUGCUCUUACGGGUGGCGAGUGGCGGACGGGUGAGGAAUACAUCGGAAUCUACUUUUUCGUGGGGGAUAACGUAGGGAAACUUACGCUAAUACCGCAUACGACCUACGGGUGAAAGCAGGGGAUCUUCGGACCUUGCGCGAUUGAAUGAGCCGAUGUCGGAUUAGCUAGUUGGCGGGGUAAAGGCCCACCAAGGCGACGAUCCGUAGCUGGUCUGAGAGGAUGAUCAGCCACACUGGAACUGAGACACGGUCCAGACUCCUACGGGAGGAAGCAGUGGGGAAUAUUGGACAAUGGGCGCAAGCCUGAUCCAGCCAUACCGCGUGGGGGAAGAAGGACUUCGGGUUGGAAAGCCCUGUUGUUGGGAAAGAAAAGCAGCAGGUUAAUACCCCGCUGUUCUGACGGUACCCAAAGAAUAAGCACCGGCUAACUUCGUG